rnacentral:rRNA from 1 species
CCUAUGGGGGGCAGCAGGCGCGAAAACUUUACAAUGCGGGCAACCGUGAUAAGGAAACCCCGAGUGCCAGCACAGGCUGGCUGUCCACCAGUGUAAAAAACUGGUGAAGAAAGGGCCGGGCAAGACCGGUGCCAGCCGCCGCGGUAAUACCGGCGGCUCGAGUGGUGGCCGCUUUUACUGGGCUUAAAGGGUCCGUAGCUGGAUUCACAAGUCCCUUGAGAAAUCUAUCGGCUUAACUGAUAGGCGUUCAGGGGAUACUGUGGUUCUAGGGACCGGGAGAGGUGAGAGGUACUGCCGGGGUAGGAGUGAAAUCCUGUAAUCCCGGUGGGACGACCUAUGGCGAAGGCAUCUCACCAGAACGGCUCCGACAGUGAGGGACGAAAGCUGGGGGAGCAAACCGGAUUAGAUACCCCCGUAGUCC